UAGCAUAAUCAUUAGUUUUUUAAUUGAGAACUAGAAUGAAAGGUUAAAUAAAAAAUAAUCUUUAUUAAAGUUAAAUUUUUUGAAUUUGUUUUUUUAGUAAAAAAACUAAAAUUAAUAAAAAAGACGAUAAGACCCUAUAAAGCUUUAUAAUAUAAAAAUUUAAUUAUUUAUUAGAUUAUUUAAUUAAUUUUUUUUUUGUUAUUUAAUUGGGGUGAUUUAAAGAUUUAAAAAACUCUUUAUAAAAAUUAUUUCAUAAUUAAAUGUUUUUUGAUCCUUAAAAUUUUAAGAUUAAAAAAAUAAGUUACUUUAGGGAUAACAGCGUAAUUUUUUUGAAGAGUUCUAAUCGAUAAAAAAGAUUGCGACCUCGAUGUUGAAUUAAGAUAAAAAUUAGGUGUAGAAGUUUAAUUUUU
rnacentral:rRNA from 1 species